ACUCCUUUCUCUCCCUCUCUCUAUCUCGAUCGAACAACCACCACCACCAUCAACCACCCACCACCUCCCCCCCUCUCUAUCUCUCUACCCCGUCCCCUUUUCUUCACCUUUGUUUUGUUUUGUUCGACCACCACCGACGCACACCCACCACUGCUGCACACCCACCAUCGGCGUCCUCUCUCCGUUUCUUGGGUACAGCCGGAAGAUGGAAGAUGCUCUGAUGAAUAGAGAGACUAAAGGGACGGAGUGGUGGGUCGCUGGCUCGCCGGAGAUGAGACGGAGAGUAAGCUCAUAUAGAGAAGCAGGGAGGGUAUUUUUUUUGUAGGUAGAGAUUAAUACUUAGGGAAUUUGUAAAGAAAGAGUGUUAUUUAUGAAAUUGUGGUCUAGGGCAAGGAGGAAAAGAUGAUCGGAGGAAAGAGCUCACAAAAAAAUUAUGAUGGUUGGUGGCAGUGUCUCGAUCUAAUGAAUGUUGAUGGUGAAUUGGUGAUGA